AAAACCAGUCCAUAAAACAUACAACACAUUUAAGAACGUCAAAGUUAAUUAUGAAAGAUUUCAUGGCCUACCAGGAUCCAUGUUCAUAUGGAAUACUGAGACUCCAGUCAGCAGCUAACCCACAGAAGAUACCAUUCCAGUUUCAUGUCAUUUAUCAGAAUGAUAAGACCAACUGGAAAAGAAAUGUCAGCCUGAUUACAGAGAUUCCUGUUCUACUGUCAGCUAUCAAGGUUAGAGUUUUAUUCCCCAUUUUACAAGUUUUUGCUGACAUGAAUAAGCUGUGCAUUCUAAUAUACCUGUGAUAUAACCUUUCUCCUCCUUUAGCAAACAAUUUUACUACAUAAUUACAAGUAAACACUUAAGUUUGCUUAGAGUAUAAACAGCUUAAAUACAGUUAAAAUGUUGAAUUUUUUGUUAGAUACUUCUGAACUUCCAUCAAAAGUAAAAAUUACAUUUCCUAAUCCUUUUAUAUGUUAUUUGAAGAGAAUUUUCCUCUAGAAUUUGUUCAUACUGCAUGGCUUAAAUAAGCACAAAACCUGCUGUAGUCACUGUAAAACAGCCCAAAAUAAUGAUCUGCCUGUGUGCAGCUAAGUGGGGUCAAGCAAACACUGGACUACAUCAGCAUAUGCCUUGUGAUUUGACCAAGAAUUUUCCAAUACCUCUGACAGUCAGUUCAGGAUCCCCUAGGAAGGUCUGUGACUUCAUGAACACUCAAUGCUAAAAUAUUCAAAGGAAAACACAGCCAGGUAUUUAACUGCCUAAAUUGCAUGGAAGAAAUUUAGCUCCAUUUUGUAUGCUGAGCUACUCUUUGAAAUUGAGCUAAAACUAUUCAGUGUCUGAUUUACCAUCCUACCCACCUCAAAGAUGAGAGCAAGCAGCUAUAAUUCAACUUAAAUCUGCUUUAAAGCAUGGUGUUCUAAAAUCCUUCUGAUUUCCACAUUCCACUGGCUGUGUUCUCACUGGUGAUACACCAGAACAUCACAAUCCAUAAUUUGAACACAUCCCAACAUGCAAACAUCCCACCAGGGGAGAUCCCUACUGGCCACACCCUGAAAUGAGAGUGCCCUGCCUUGCUGGAAGCUACUCCUGGUGCUCACCACAAAGGAUGCUCAGCCAGGGACAGGUGGGAGGGAAGGUCUUGAUACCACAGGAAAGCUUCUGGCAGUGCCAAAUCCAGUUCUAGUCUCUCCCUCACUGCUACAAGUUUUUCAUGGUUUUUUUUUUUUUUAACACUACUUUUCCAGCCUUUACUUCAGAAGUUUCCUGGUAAUUCUGACUGCAGGCCACCUCACUUCCAGAAAA
rnacentral:lncRNA from 1 species